CGGUAAUGUCAUUUAACUCUGUGUAAUCAACACAGGAGUGCAAAGAACCAUCCUUCUUUUCGACGAAAAAAAAGCCUGCCCCUACCGGCGAGGGUGAGGGCCUUAUGAGGCCUGCUGCCACCGACUCUGUGAUGUAGGUUGCCAUGGCUUCUUUUUCGAGUUUACUCAGGUUGUACAGUUUACGUGUGGGAAGGGGAGCCCCGGGAAGUAAAUCAAUCCCACAGUCGUAAGGGCAGUGAGGAGGGAGUGAACAGGCCGUGUCUUUACUGAAUACCUCUUGUAGGUCGUGAUAAUCCCAAGGGAUAUUACUCAGGUCUAUAGUCUCGGGUGGGUGUGAGGAGUGAGGACAUCUGGCUGGAAUCGCUGAAUGGAGACAGUGGGUGUGACAGUAAGUGCUCCAUCUGCGAAUGGUAGAGGUGGACCAGUCUAUAUGGGGGUUGUGACGUUGUAACCACGGGAGACCCAAAAUAACAGGAGUGAGUGGGGAGGUAAUGACAAAGAACACUAGAUGUUCGUGAUUAUUUUCCGAGAGAGUCAGCUUUAAAGGAGCGGUUCUGUGGGUAACAGUGUUUAUGAGUCGUCCAUCUAUGGCUAGAGCUUUUUUUGGAGAAGUCAGAUAGCUAACAGGCAGGUGAUUUGCUUUAACAUAGGCUUCAUCUGUAAAGUUAUCCUCUGCCCCCGAGUCAAUGAGAACCUGCAGCUCGUGUGAUAGGUGGGUAUCGUGUAGCAUACCUUGAACACGGACUUGGGAGUAAGAGGAGUAAGAGAUACGGCUCACCAGUGCCCCCCGACCUAUUGGUGAGCCCUGCCUUUUGGCACCUCUGUACAGGUAGCGAGGUAGUGACCUCUGCAGCCGCAGUCGAGGCAGAGCUUUUCUUGCAGGGCUGCAGACACUGGAAGCUGGUGUACGACGAGUCUGAUUCACUCUCCUCUACCUCCAUCUCUCUCUGAGUCUUUUGUCUAUGUGUAUGCUCAGCUCUAUUAGCUCGUUUAGGGAGGAGCUCUCCUCCCGCACUGCCAUCUUGUCUUUUAAUUCUCCUGUUAACCCUUUACGAAAAAUGUCUCGGAGAGCAGUGUCCCCAAACCCACUGCUGGCAGCCAGAAUGCGGAAGUUUAUGGCGUACUGGGAGACCACUAAACUGCCCUGCCGUAGGUCUAAUAGUUGACCCGUAGCUUCUUUACCCUGUACUGGGUGAUCAAAGACUCGUUUCAUUUCCCCUGUGAAUUGAAUGUAGUCAGUCAACAUUUCCAAACCCCCGGUAGUUACAGCUAGGGCCCAGGAAGCAGCCUGACCCGACAACAGACUCAUGAUAAAUGCUAUCUUUGAUUGUGUGGUAGCGUUCCAAGAAGCACUGUAACAAGAACUCUGAGCAUGUACCUAGAUCCCCGGAGUAUCUGGGAGGGAUGGGAAUAAAAGGUUUCCUAGCUGACGGGGGAGAGGUAGCAGAUGGCUCGGUGGGUGGAGGCACUGGAGGAGGCUGUGCAGAAGCAGAGUGAGGAGGUUGAACCCGCAUGGUCCCCAGCUCGCUUCUUAACUAGGAGACACUGGCCGUGAGCUGUUGCAAAUGUUCCAUGAUUUGCAUGAGGGUGGACUCGUGUUUGCCCACUAAGACGCCUUGAGUGAAUACAGCGUGUCUUAAAUGUUCAGCCUCUGCUGGAUCCAUACUCUUCUGGCCAGAUGAUUCUGUUAGGAUUCAAACAAAGGCCAGGAUCCAAAAAUGCAGAGGCAAAUGCCCAAAUUUAUUAACAACAAACAAUAGAACAAAGUGAACAAGAGAAAAUCGCAGUUUCUGGGAAAAGGCAGCUUGGACUGCCACUAAAAAAAACACAAAACCAGAGUUAGACAGGAUUCAUUGCAGCAAGGCAAAUAGCUGGAGAAAAAAACAAAGUUCAAAUGAUAGUGCCACGUGGGGCAAGUAACAACCAAGGAGGUAAAAGACAAAGUACAACAGAAAUAGUAAACCAAAAAAUCUUUUCAACUAGAGUAAAAAACAUGAACACAAAAUCACCUUUGCUCAAGGGAAAAAAUUCCCUGGGAGUAACAAAAGAACUCAUCAACAAAUACUGAGUGGCAGGCUGGCUACACGGGUGGGAGAUCAGGGAGCUCCGGGUGGCAAGACACGUGUUGCAUGACUGAGAAAUCAUCUGGCACUGAGUCAACAGAGGAGCCGGCAUAUAAAGCCAGGUAAUUGACAACAACGAGAAUCAGGUGCGUGGAAUCAGUCCGGGCCAGCCCCACCUCCUGCCGUGCCAUCAGCGCUGCAGAGAGAGAGAGAGAGAGAGAGAGAGGGAGAACACACAGAGGAGAGGAACACAGGAAACCCAACUGCUGCAUAAACUCAAAAUCUCACAGACAUCAAGCACUUAUCCGCAGCCAAUUAAAGGUAGCCACCUCAAUCAGCUGAUGGCCAAGCUGAUUUCCUCUAAGCUUCUAUUGGUCCUAUGCCUUCAGAGUACCCUAUUUAAAACUGCCCUAAUCAAGCCUCUAUCUCUGCUUUGACAGGCAACCAGCGACCCACCUCCACCCCAGCUCCACCCUUGUGCCAGCUAAACCGCUCCACUACUCUUGAAGCGCUCUUGUUCUGGGGGGGUCCUGUUCAUCGCUACUCUACCCCUUGAUGUUUCUGCCUUCAUGCUGCCUCAUGAAGGGAGGGAAUAUGCUCUUCCUGCCACUGGCCUUUCACGCAUGCUUGUGUGGAAAGCGGGGAGUCCUGAACAGAACCUUGCUUACGCUCCCUGCUAUCGCCUUUUCAUGAUGGUUAGUGAAGGGCAGGAAGGGUCCCUUCACUGCCUCUGGCUUUCAUACAAGCGCAUGGAAGGGCAGGGACCCGGAACAGAACUAUGCCGCCAAAUUUAACUUUGCACAAUAAAGCUGAAUUUUGACAAAGUGAUCCUGACUGAAAGAGACACACUGAAUAAAACAAGGUAAAUCAGUUUAUAAGCAUCCUUAUAUUUCUGUUAAUGCUUCUUUAUGAGCUAUAAAACAAACAAAUAUACAGCAUGGUGGAGGAUGGAGUGGUACUGUUCCUUCUUCAUGAUACCCUUUACUUCAAACAAAUCGCCUGCUCCAUCACCUGCAAAACAUCCCCAUACCAUGGAACUACUACCUCCAUGCUGAAUUGUGGGUGUAACACAUGUUGUUUUCAGAUGUUCACCAGUUUGUCUGUGGACAUAGACUCUGUGUUUUGAACCAAACAGUGCAAACUUGUUACUAGUCAUCACAAGUCCAGUUUUUGUGAGCUUUUGCCCACUCAUAUCUCUUUUUCUUAUCUUUAUCAGUUGUCAGAGAUAUCGGUUUCGACCUUGUCAUGUUGAGUUCCUCCCUUAUUUUUGGUGCUGUCUUUCGCCGAUCUCUCUUACUGGUGACAAUGCUAUGUUUAUCCUCUGCUUUUGUAGUAACUCUCUUUCAUCCAGGUCUUUUUCUAUCAUCAUAACUUCCAGGUUCCUCUAGUCUCUUCAGAGUGUAGUGGACUCCUUUAGGCAUUUUGCAAUUUCUCUUUCUGUAUAUCCUUCUUUCCUCAAUGUACAAAUCUGUACUUUUGUUUCUUUACUCGGUUGCUUCUUUCUAGCCAUUUUUGCGGUAGUUUGAACGCAGUUGAGAUUUAUUAGGAUUUGUAUGCAGACUCUCAAAAGCCAAAAAGUUGAAGUGAAUAAUCCAACAGUGAUUUGUUUUUUUGCUUUUGCACUGAAGUUGUGACUCUUGCAAAUGUUUUCAACCCUAAAACUAAGCCCUUAUUAUCUUUUGCUGACAUAAAUUUAGCAAUGGUCUGCUAACAUCAAUGUAUAUCUAAAGGUAGAUGGAGUAAAAUGGUGCAUUUCCAUGAAAGCAACAUCUGAUCAUGGAGUAAAUACAUCCCAAAAUACAUAAAACUCAUGCUGGAUUAAAAAAAAAAAGCAAUAUGAACAAAAACUUGAAGUUACUCCCAAUUGUUUGGCCUGUAAUGGCCUUGCUUCCAAAGUUUUGGCCUGUAGUGUAUUUCUCAUGAUGUUUCUUCCUGUCAUUCCAACAGUCUCUGUCUAAAUCUCAUCAUGCCUCAGUGAUAUUUCUAAAGGAAUGAAGGAAUCACCUGAGGCUCAACCUGUCCAAAACUGAGCUUCUUCACAUUCCAGCCAGUCCCUCUCUACACCCACAGAUCAAGAUCCAGCUUGGAUUAAAUAAACUUGUGCUCAUUAAGUCUACUCAGAAUCUAAGUCUCAUGAUUGAUGACCAGCAAACCUUUAAGGUUCUUGUUGCCUCGGAUGCUUGGUCCUGCUGUUUCACCCUUUACAACACCAGGAGGAUCAGACCCUACCUGACAGAGCACACAACACAGCUCCUGGUACAGGCUCUUGUAAUAUUACCCAUUGACUACUGCAACUCCUUACUGGCAGGACUCCCUGCAUCAAACCUCUGCAGAUGAUCCGAAAUACAGCCGCCCGCCCAAAGCAACACAUGUCACUGCAGUCCACCUCCCUCCACUAAUUUCCAGUAGCAGCCUGCAUCAAAUAUAAAGUGCUACUCCUGCAAGUAGACAAAGGGCUGUAUUUUCCUGCCUUGCUGGCGACGCGCCGCAUGCGCGGCGUAAGUCAGGUCCGCCAAGCCAACAAGGCGUUCCCAAGCACAAUUUGGUAUUUUGAUGAGUGACGCAGCCCAGCAUAAGUAUUCCCCCUCCCUAACUCAGCUCCUCCCAGCGGCAUAAGUCGUAGGGAGGAAAGAGAGAGGAUGCUGGCUGUAUGCCGGGCUCCGCCAGAUGAAAAUACCACUGCGCGGGGUCCGCCACCCUCACCGGUGGACACGAAAAUAGAGCCCAAAGUCUUGUUUAGUAUUUUACUUCUGUGAUCAUACUCUGUGAGUAUGAAUUGUUACCAUCAAAUCUGAGAUUCAGGUGCCUCAUUUUUACAAAGUCAGGCUAAAGCACUUGUUUGUACUCCAGUCAAUUAUGAAGUUAAAUAUGGAGCUGAAUCCUCAAUUAAAAGUACACUUGAGGCCUCAGAAUAUGCUGUUUGAAAUGUUGUUUUGUCAUGUGUUUGUCAUGUGUCUUCUCUCGUAUGUUGUAAAUGGAAUUGCAGUGAUGCAUGUCAAAUUAUGGAUGAUAAAUUCAUAUUGGAUAUGAUCUUAUGUCUUUGGCAUGGACCAGUUGGGACGGGUCAGGCUUCUUUGGCUCCUAACUGGACUCCAGCUGAUGGCAGACACAAUCAGUGCUAACUAGUCUACCCCUCAUACUAGUUAUCAAAGGUAUUCAAAUGAACACUGUCUGAUGUGGGAUUAGAAUUUUAAAUCUCUUAAAUAUUUAGGAUCCCAGUUUGGAAAGGCACAUCUUGCUCCUGAGAAUUAAAAUCUUUGCAGACAGAGGAAUAAAAUCUCCGGAAAAACAAAUGAUCCUUGUUCAGGAUCCAUUUGUUUCCAUUUUGGAGCAGAUUUUUAUUUGUUCCACACAAAAAAACCUUUGUUCAUGACACCACUGUGCAGGGUUAUAAAACUGAUUGAAGGAGCAUGAGACAUAAAGCCCUGAGGAAUGAAAACCAUAGCAUGAGUCAUCCUGAUUUAAGUUUGGAAGAAGACAAAAGCCUCCAGCCUUGAGGAUCUAUUAAAGUUUGAGGUGGGUGUGUAAUGGCAGAUAUAGUGACUCAUUAGCUCAGAAGUUUGUUGUGCAUGAUAAUCAGAGCCACACUUCCUCAAAAUGCCAUGACUGGAGGCUUUAUUAAGAAACCUGCUGUGUCCUUUGGUGCAGAUCGGAUCCUCUUGUGGUGUGUUUAUCACUGAUGACUUCUCCAAAAGGUUUCCUAAAGAGAAGUGAGUAUAAAAAGGGUCCAAGAUCAGAGACAUUAACAAGUAUUAAGAAGCAGUUCCAGGAGUGUGCACUAGAGGCUGGCCCAAAAGAUAAGGAAAUCCCAUUAGAGGCCAUGUUCAAAUGCUCAUUUUGACAGCAGGAUUAUUUAUGUUUACGGCCUGUCCCAACAUUAAAUAUCUUGUCUUUGUAGUGCAUUCAAUUGAAUAUAGAAGGAAACGAAUGUGCAAAUCAUUAUAUACUGUUUUUAUAUAUAUUUUACACAAUGACCCAACUUCAAAUUGGGAUUUGUAAACAAUAAUAGUGAUAAUAAGUACAGUGGGGAAAGGUUGGCCAAAUCCAAUGGCAAGGAUAGGGUGCCAGUCUUAACCAAAUCAAGUAAACGAGUACUCUCACUUGUGUCUGUUUUCUUUAGGUCGAAAGACUUAUAAUAAAUUGUGGUGAAACUACUGUGAAGUCCUAUUCAGUGAGCACAAAUUUCAGGUCAGGCAGCAGAGAGUCAGCAGUGCCAAAUCUCUAAAGGGAGGCAUUUUAUUGAUAAAUUAUAUAUCAAGGUGCUGAAGCUUUUAUUAGCAUACUUAAUCAGGUUUAGGAGAUGAAGUUACAGUCAUCCUGCAGUGACAGGCAGCUGAGCGGGUCAUUGAUGGAGUGUAAGUUUGUGAGUGUGUGUUCAAAUAGAAGGAAAAAAGAUGCACUUGGUGUAGUCCAUGAAAUAGAACAACUGUGAGGAGUUUUUACUUUGAACAGGUUGUUACUGAAGCACAGGAAGGCACGAGUACUCGGCCAUGUGUGAUUGAGAUGACAGUCAAUACAGGGAAAGAUGAUGUUGAAAACACUCCCCAAGGUCAGUUUACGGAGGGAAAAAAAUCAUCCUGCUUCUGCACAUCUCUCAAUCUUUCUGCAUCUUCUGAACACUUCAUUUUUACUCUCUUAAUUCUGAGCAAUGAGAGUUCAAUUCCCCAGCCCAGGCCCAUAGUCGGGCAAUAAUCAGGGUUUUUAUCAAGACCAGUGUGGCUGUGGCUCCAAAUCAAAUAAUGGAGCAAAUAAAUCAGCUCUGUAAUCACAAAAACGGUGGUACCAAACAAAGGAAGCUCGAGUGUCUCUGCAACAAAGUCCC